GGGGCAUGGAAACAUCACUUGGUUGCAUGAGCUGCUCAUUCUGUUUUGCAGAAACAGUAAUAUAUUUGGUUUCCCACUUACCUGCCAGAGUGGGUUAGAAUGAAUGAGACUAGAUCUGUCUGGAGAAAGAGGUUAUUUGGACAUCCAGUCUGGUUUCCUCAAAUAGGGCAGCAGAAAGUUGCCAGGGCUCCCCCAAAGGCCAGGCGAGCCCAGGAGACUGGAGCAUUACGCUUUACUCAGACAGUGGAGACCACGCCUGUCUCCCCAAACAGCCCUGUGUGUGUCUGCCUUGAUGAUGCAUUUGUGCCGGUCGGGGAGUUGGACCUGCAGCAGAAGCAAAUGGUUGCCAGUCACCACUUUCCAUACAGAGCAUCAGCCAUGCAGGCUUCUGACUCACACUACACUCACCUGCACUCCGAGACUCGGGCACAGGGAGCUCCGGCUUCCCAGUGUGCUUCCCUUAGUAAUUACAGAGGCCCCCAACACUGCAGCUCACACAGAGCCUGGCCUUUGUGGCUGGAGUCGGACCCCAACACUCUGCUCCCCAAUCGCAUGCCCAGGGUGUGCACUGCCUUCUCUCAUUCUCCUCCCACUGAGGCACUUCCCAGCUGAGUUCUGCCUUGCCAUGCCCCACAUCUCCCACAAGGGGGAGCCCCCGGAGGGCAACUGGGGCUGAGGAAUUUUGGAAGCGCUGAAGUUUUCGACUCCUGUCCUGCAACUGGUUUUCACUCACCCAACGGUGAGAUUUCUUUGUUGCAGUGUUGGAGUCUGAGAUAACACUGCCGGAAGCUGCAGGCGAGAACCUUAGCUCAUUCUAUCUUUUAUUGUGUGUUGUUGUUUACCAGCAUUCUAAACUAAGAAGGAAAAGUAAUAAAGACAUGCAGGACUCACAGGCCCUGGAUGAAGACUGCCAGCCUCAGACAGAACCAGCACGUCUGAGGGACAACCAGGAGGUGCCUUUGGCUGUGGAGCUCAGGAUAUGAAUCAGAGAGAAAGAACUGAAGACUUGUCCCAGGAAGAAAGGGGAGGACUGGCAGUAGAUUUUUCACUGGUUUGUCUUUGGAAAAGACUGAGAAGAACUGUUCAAGGUGAAAUGAAGAUAUAGAAGAAACAACCGUGAUCUGUUUAGUUGUGAAUGGGCUCUUGUUGGAAGACAGAGGACUGAGUCCCAUAUCUUCAACUUUUAUAUUUGGAGAUACUAAAGUACAGUUUUGCUCAGUUACCCAGCAAGUGCUUCUUGGUCACCCUUGGGUCUACUAGGUGCUGGAAGGACAUUCCAAUGGCAAGUGCUAUAUCCUGGAAACCUCUUCAGUCCUAGGAAAAUUCAAGGAGAUUGGUCACCCUAAUACCUGCUGUUUUACUGUGUUCGCCACAUAGGCAAUAGAUAUAAAGACACCAGUGAAUUAUUUGAAGAUAUGGGUCUACAAGAUGGAUGCAGAUUUAAAAAAUAAGAUUCCUAAGAAUUUACCUUUUUCAGCUCCCACUCUGUUCUCCAGGAGACACAGGGGCAGGAAGAACAUAGCAUGCUCAUUAACGCUGAUGACCCUGACCUGACUGGAACCCAAGAUGGCGUGUUGGCCAGCAGCGUGGAAUCAGUGGAUUCUUCAAUGGAGACAGGUCGAAUUGUGUCACAUCCAGGAAGUCACUUCUGUGAAUGAUAAUUCUAUAGUGUUUCACUGCUUGUGCACUUUCCUCAUGUUCAUGUUCUCAGAGAUAUGAAAUGGCACAAGGUAAAUUAGCACAGAAGAUUUGGGGCCGGGGCAUGACAAAUUAAAAGCAUGACUGAAAGUAGCUUAUGAUAUUGAUGGAAUUCUCUGUGGACUGGGGAUGAUGUGACUAGAGAAAGAAGAAAGCUGCUGAAGUUUUCCAAGAGGUGAAGAGAAAAAGAAAUUACAUGAAGACAAUAGUGAAAGCAGAGAAGGGACAGAUAGAAGAUAUGCUGCACAGAAGAGCAAUAGGAUUCUAUAACUAAAAAUGGAUUUGGGGAGGGAGGAGCAGAAGGGCUGAAGCAAAGAUAACACAUACAAUUUAAAUCUGGAACUAUGAUGCAUAGUGGAUGUAAACUAGAAGAUUGGUAAAUGGAUCUGGUUUAGGUGUGGUUAGGUUUAUUGUUUUUGUAUUUAGCAUAAUGGUGUUGAGUGACUCCUAGUUGAGAGCGUAAGACUUGCCAUUACUAGCAUAAAAAGAAGGGUUUUCUAAGGAGUGAGAUUUUCAGGUAGAAACUUACAGGGCUUCCUUUGUGUCACAGUAGGACUGUAGGAUCCCAGCAGCUGUCAGAACCCUUUGGUUUUUUAGCACAUAAGUGCUUACUGUAAAAGUGAUCCUUUCCAAUGGAACUAAGGGUCACUUAGCUCUGCAGAUCCACUUCAGAUGUUGCAAAUGGUAAAUAUGGUUAGGAAAAUCUUGGAAAUGGAAGUUGGCUAAGAUAAAAUAUGCCCAAGUCAUAGAAUGAGUCAUAGGAAUAAAAUCUUGAAUAUCCUAUUUAGCCAUCAGCAAAUAUCCUGACAAAGCUAUCUACCUACUUUUAAAUAGAACAGCCUUUUUAUGCUUUUCUUUCAAUAGAUACUCAAUUUAUGGUCCUACUGCCUCCCUACACACACACACACACACACACACACACACACAGAAAAAUGAGUUCAAAAAGAGAAUGAAAAAUAUAUUAACUUGAAACCUGAUUAAUCAGCUUUAGGAGAAGAUCCUAUUAUCAUUAAGCUCUUGAUCAUCAUCAUACUCACACAUUCAUUGAAUGCCUGAUUGUGGUUAUACAAAGAACAUACACACACACACACACACACGCACACACAAAUAAAUACAGAGCAGAAGUCACAUGGGCCUGUCCUCUCUGGGUUUAUGGACCCUAUGUAUAAGAGAGAAAACACAGGUAAAUGGCCAUAUAAAAGUGUUUACAUGAGUCCCUCUGCAAUUACAUUUGCAAGGCCGCAGCUAUCCUAUUUUAUCAAGGAAUGUAAUCUCCUGUUGUCUGAGUCACUUCUCUGGUCGGGGAGACAUACUACCCAACACUCACAAUUUGAAGGUGAGAGGUUUAUUUUGGCUCAUAAUUCAGUCCAUAGCUGGCUGACUCCAAAGCAAGACGGCAUGGCACAGGCGCAUGGUAGAUGUCUGAGCAGUGGGGAAGCAGAGAGGGAGUGAAGAGAGGAGCUGGGAUGGGAGGUAUAUCUUUCCAGGUCAAACCCCCAUUAACCCAUCUCUUCUGAUCAGAUCCCACCUCCUAACAGCAAGUCAACUAUAAUGCUCUCAUGAUCCAAUCACCUUUCAAAACUCCAGCCUGUGAGCACAUGAAACUUUUAGGGAACAUCUAGAUAUAAACCAUAACAUCUAUAUAAGUAAAAUUUUAUAAGAAGCAAAGCUUACCUAUUAGGCAUUACAGAAGCUUCUGGCUUUUCAGUCAGUAUAAACAGUUUCUAGCACUUCACUCACUUAAUGGCUAAGGGGCAUCCUUAGGAACAUUCUGUGUUGAUGAAUUCUGUGCUCUCAGUUGCCUUUCUUUGCCUUUUAUCUUUCAGUCAUUUUGGUCUUCAACUGUGGCAGCUACUUUUCCAGGUCUUCACGUGCCAGCCCCUCAGCUGAUCUCCCACUUCACUGGUGAUAUAUUACUCCAGAACAUCUUCAUCCCUACAAAGAAAGUUAACCAGGAUUGUCAUACAAUUGAAAUGGGCCAAUAAUUCUGAGUGAGGCUCCAAGGAGAAAGGCAGCUGGGUGUUGUGGAGAGAUCGAGAUAGCUGCUUGGAACAUUCUAAAGUGUUCUCUAGUAUUAGAUUAGAUGCGGUAAUGCUAGAGUAUUUAGGUAUUCUAAAGUAUCUCCAGCUCAGCCUCCAGAAAGCUGAAGUUGAAGAAAUACUGGUCUCUGGAUGAGAGAGCCGCUGCUGUCUUCACACUGGAGAUUAUUAGCUCCCAAGUUACCUCCUAAUUUAGGGAUAGAAAACAAGAGUAUCAUUCUGGAAAGUGGAGAUAUGAUAGACAUUCCUGAAAUCAACCUGAUAAAAUAAAAAAAAUUACAUAAUGUAACAGUAUAAAAAAUAAAGAUAUCCUACUCCUGUCCUGCAUGCCUUCUCCAAAAUACACAUGUAUAUUGUUAAUUUCCCUGAAGGUCAUUUUCUUACAUCAGAGUAAAGUGGUUUUUCACUCCACCA